rnacentral:rRNA from 1 species
GACGAACGCUGGCGGCGUGCUUAACACAUGCGAGUCGAACGGAAAGGCCCUGCUUGCAGGGUACUCGAGUGGCGAACGGGUGAGUAACACGUGGGUGAUCUGCCCUGCACUUCGGGAUAAGCCUGGGAAACUGGGUCUAAUACCGGAUAGGGGCCAUUUUUAGUGUGAUGGUUGGAAAGUUUUUUCGGUGUAGGAUGAGCUCGCGGCCUAUCAGCUUGUUGGUGGGGUAAUGGCCUACCAAGGCGGCGACGGGUAGCCGGCCUGAGAGGGUGGACGGCCACAUUGGGACUGAGAUACGGCCCAGACUCCUACGGGAGGCAGCAGUGGGGAAUAUUGCACAAUGGGCGCAAGCCUGAUGCAGCGACGCCGCGUGGGGGAUGACGGCCUUCGGGUUGUAAACUCCUUUCGCUAGGGACGAAGCUUUUUGUGACGGUACCUAGAUAAGAAGCACCGGCUAACUACGUG